rnacentral:rRNA from 1 species
UGGGGAAUCUUGCACAAUGGAGGCAACUCUGAUGCAGCGACGCCGCGUGAGUGAUGAAGCCCUUCGGGGUGUAAAGCUCUUUCGACAGGAACGAUAAUGACGGUACCUGAAGAAGAAGCUGCGGCUAACUACGUGCCAGCAGCCGCGGUAAUACGUAGGCAGCGAGCGUUGUUCGGAAUUACUGGGCGUAAAGAGUGUGUAGGUGGUGAUCUAAGUCUGUCGUGAAAUCUCCCGGCUUAACUGGGAGGGUGCGGCGGAAACUGGAUCGCUAGAGUAUGGGAGAGGUAAGCGGAAUUCCUGGUGUAGCGGUGAAAUGCGUAGAUAUCAGGAGGAACACCUGUGGUGUAGACAGCUUACUGGACCAUUACUGACACUGAGACACGAAAGCGUGGGUAGCAAACAG